GAAAUGCGAUAAGUAAUGUGAAUUGCAGAAUUCAGUGAAUCAUCGAAUCUUUGAACGCACAUUGCGCCCGGCAGCAAUCUGCCGGGCAUGCCUGUCCGAGCGUCAUUUCUGCCCUCGAGCGCGGUUCGGCCCCUAGCGGGCCGGCCGCCGCCCGGUGUUGGGGCGCUGCGGGCCCUCGUGCCCGCAGGCCCUGAAAUGAAGUGGCGGUCCCGCCGCGGCGCCCCCUGCGUAGUAGUAAAGCACCUCGCAUCGGGUCCCGGCGGAGGCCAGCCGUCGAACCUCUCUUCUGAUGGUUUGACCUCGGAUCAGGUAGGGUUACCCGCUGAACUUAAGC
rnacentral:misc_RNA from 1 species